rnacentral:lncRNA from 1 species
UCGAAGGUGGAGGUAGUGGUGAUCGGCAGGCAGUACACGGUGGUUCCCGUAGUGGUGGGGGUAGCAGUGGCGGCGCCGCUGCCAACAGUGAAUGGCGUGGUGCCUGCCAUGUAUUCGCACCUGCAACACAUCGUGACCACCGUAUGUGGGGUGGAGGGGUGCGGGGGAAAGAUUACGUUCACAGGUCGACAAGAGUGUCGCAUUCCAAUGUUUGCCGCCGAGAGAACCGGAUUUCUGGAGACUUAUUCCAUGCAAUGUUUGGUGAUGCACACGCACACACGCAAACGCACACACGCACACACGCACACGCACACGACCGAAAUACUUCCAGCAGCCACAGAAAAACGAAUGCAGAGCCCGGACACACACAGCGGGCCGUCAUGCUUCCGCCGGCACAGAUAUGUUGUUGUUGUUGUUGUUGUUACAUGGUCGUGGGUGCGUUCCCCGUACCUGCAAACCACCCUAGUACGAGCCGAGGGCUCAAGGGCUGCCAAAUCGCCUAUAAGCACCAUCCUACCUCGCACUUCCAACGGAACAAGUGAUGAAGUAUACUAACGACCAAAGGGGACGAUAGAGUUGCGGUGGGACCAUAUGCGUUCCAGCAUCCUUGCCAGGCGUUCAGGUUCCCACUUCAUAGCGUCCUUCAUAUGCUCGAAGCGUGGAAAGCCCAUAUCAGAUCAGAUAUAUACACGGCUUGCAUGCGGACUUAAGCUCAAAUCAAAGGGCACUGAAACAGCACUUGUAAAGCCCCGGUUCGUUUCCCAGGCAGGACUCACGUGCAGUUAAUGGGCGGCUUGAUCGGGGUUGGCUGGGACGGCUGGCCAAUGGCGCAGCACUUGAACUUUGAGUCGUACAGGGCAGUCUCGCAGGUGCCUGGAGCACCGCCGGCCGGUAGCUUGCAGAGCUGCUCCAGGGAGAGGCAGCCCUUGCCAGCGGCGUUAGGGCCCAGGCUCACGCAAAUCUCGGCGCCAUCGGCGUUGGACAUCUUGAGGCCCAGGUUCGGAAUGCGCAGGAUGACGCCAGCCGGCUCGUUGGGGGCCUUGUCGAGGGAUGGCUGGGUGGGGGUUGGCUUGCCGUUGAGGGUAGAGCUCAGCUUGGCACCGGCGACCUUGCAGCUAGGGUCCACAUUCAGCUGCGAGAGGAGGAAGGAGGAACCCCAGUAAAUUCAGUAGGCUUUGAUACCACUUAUUGUUGGGCAGCUGCUGGGCGACCCGUCCACAGUUAGGUGUCUAAGUGAAUUCUGUUGUGUAGGCAUGGACGCAGCUGCAUGUGCCCCCUGAUUUGUGUACCAAGAUAUUUAGUACCCGAAAUACUCUCACGGAUAUUACCCAGGAUGUCGGUCGCGGGUGGUUACCAGGGACUCCAACGGCUCCAUUCUAACGGUCCUUAUCCAAAUAAAAAAAGCCUUAUGGGAUUUUGAUGUAACUAAAUUUGGGUCCGGUAGGCGGCCAGCAAACAGACAGGCGGGAUUGAGUCGCGAACUGCAGAACUACGUUCGCAGGACUGCUCACUGCUGGCCAUGGAACGAAAGUCCGUUACACAGAACAGGACGCGAUCUCAGUCAGGUAUGGAGUUCUGUACUCGGGGGGUAGGUGCGUGUGAACCCGCACAAGGGCUUUAGGCGGCUCUUGCUGAUUCGCUGUCGAUAGGGGGCCCGGAUAGCGCCCCACUGGGUACCUAGCGCCAUUAAAAAAGACUUGUAAUAUCUCGCUUACGCUUACGGCGCGGAAAUGAAGCUCGUUCGCAACUUCGCCCCGGAAUCCACGUCAUAGGCAUGUCCAUGUGCACCGACAGUCCGGCGACGAAGGGGUGGAUCACUCACCUCGAACUUGUAAAGGUCAGCCGAGCAGCAGGUGCCGGCGCAGUUGGGGGGAAUGUUGACAGCGAUCUUAAAACAGUAGGUGUUGUUGGGCCGCUCGGUGACCUGGGGAACGACGGAGUAGAUCGCCGGCUGCUGCGCGCACACCGUGUUGUAUGGCCACGGCAUCAUUUGGGCGCCAGCAUGGGCGGCCCUGCAAAACACAACAAAACGACAAAAAUAACAGGAAAGGGCAGAUUUCUUGGGACGUUGAAGGAUAUUGUUGUUGGUUGUGGCUGGCCCUGACUGGCUGUCGACGGUAGAGACAUUAUAUGCAUUCGCAGCACGAACAGAGUUGCACCAGGCUCGAAACGAGUUUUGUCGCAAAAACGUAAAAGCAAUUCAGAAGCUACCACGUGAAUUAAGAAUGCAGAUCCACGCAACAGAAGCAAAAGCCGAAGGGAACUAGCAACUUACAGGCCCGCGGCCAACACUACGCAGAAAAUGUUGAUGAGCUUCAUCUUGUAAAGAUCAACGCUGCAGAGCUGAAGCAUCUGAGGUAAAAGGCUGCUCGUCGCCUCUUUGUAGAACCGCUAAGGGCGUGUCGUGUCGUACAUGUCAUACGGCGGGCGGCGGGCAUUACUCAUCGCGGCAGCUUUCGGAGAACGGCAGCGAAGCCGCACAAGGUAGCGAACCAGGGAUGCAAGCUGAGGUGGCCGCGGCCGCAAAAGCUAAGGGCAUAAAAACUGGUUGCAUUUGAAGCACAUUGUAGGACGAAGCACGCCGGAAUCAGAAAAGACAGGGGGAUGAAUUGGACAAAGGUCGAUCAUACUAGCAACGCUUAUAAAAGUACGGCGGAAACGAUGUUCCACCUAAAUGACGACUGACGACAAGAACUCAUGGGACGUAUACAUGUACAGUGCCGGCCCUUCGCCGUAGGUACGUGCUUCGUUUUCGAUGGGUUUUCGCGCAACGGCAGUGAGCUGAAGCGCUGAAGACGGAAGAACGAAGUUAUCCAACAUAUGUCGUUUGAUUUAUGAGCAUAAUUAUUUUCUCUCCCUGAAGGGCCCGAUUGUGGGGCAGAGCCGACAAAGUGUCGGGCCAUUUGCUGGCAACCACACACCUUUCGGUCAUUACCAUGCUUUAGCAAGGUGAAACUUCACCCAUUAACUUCAUCCUAGCAACUGAUACUCACGCCCAGCCACAUUGAAAGCCUGACAAGUAUGGGAAAUGAGGAGUCGAGCGUCUAAGCACUUUCAUAGAAGAAGGUAGCAAGGUCUGGGAAGUGUGCAGAGUGACCUUUUUGUAAGCCGUGCUCAUCGACACUAUCAGUAAGAACAUCAAAAGGGUAAUCCUAUGCAGCUGUUAAACACUCUUUUAUCUUAAAAAAAACUGAAGUAGCGCUGUCAGAGCCACUGUGCUGAAAACUGACUCGAUUAGGUCAGCUUCGGUUGCUGGCACAUACAACUUAAAUUCUUAAAUUGUGUGUAAUAAUUGAAAGUAAUAUUGUUUUUUUGUUUCAAGGUAUAUUAUAAGGUAGAAUCAUAGCGAGUCGCCCAUAGCAAGAGGAGCGAACGUAGCUCCCCUAGCAGCAGUACCUGCUCCGGAGACAGACGUAAGUGACUUAUUAUGGGCACAAUCUUCAUAAAAGCAGGCACCACAUAGGCCUUGGAUCAGCCCUUCGGAACAUGAACGUUACGUAUCUUUCGCGGUCGAAGACGUAUUCCGACACCAACGUCAGUUGUUUGACUAGAAACCAGCUACGCGAAUUCAUAUUCAGAUCUCUCAUCAUAACAGUAAUUUUUAACUUAAGCCGUGAGUCGGAGCCUGUGGGAAGCCCCGAUACAACAUUGCGACGGGCGCAUUUAGAGUGAAGCCUAUACGGAUUCGCCGUACGGGUAUAAAUCUGUGUUGGUGCUCCGUCCUAUCAAAUAAUAAUAUAUAUUUUGGUGUUAUCCUCACUAACCAUCGCUCUCAUACCCUGCAUAUUCCCCGUAAUCCAAUCAUUCGUUUUGUCACCUAGUUUGGCUGCAAAUUCGGCAACAAUAUCGUCCGAUGGCUAUCUUCGCCUUGUCUUUCAUUUCCGGCUCCUCGGCCCAUACCCUGACUUGCGCAGAUCGACGAGGAUACACCCCAGCCCAUGCAUGUGCUUUUGUACGACCUUGCACCUUGCAAAACCUUGCCUUUCCCUUGCUUUCUGAGCGGCAGCUUGCUUUCCUAGGUGGCUUACGUAACUUCUACGAUACGGCGGAACUAUGGAGUGCUUUGCGCGGCUUGCUGUGUGCUGCUGGGACAGCAGCAGCAAGGAUGACUGCAGUCCAUGCCUUCAAGUCCCCUUUUAUUUACCCUGCAAGGAAGUGCAAGACGACUGGGACACACUCCAAGCUGCAUGGACUUUUACGUCACAUAAGGCUUGCCCACCCUAUAAUGCUAUUCGUGCGAAAGAGGGAUUCGGUAAUCAACAGAGCAUGUUGGAGGCCAUGAAAUGGGAUCCAGCACGUCUUGCAUGGGAGCAUGUUGUUGUGGUUGUUACAGUGGGCUCCAGACUCACGAAGAGUAGCGCAAGCGCGCCAGCUGGCCGUGCACUGCGCUACAGACUAACAUACAAACUAGACUCCCGCCCAGAUGAGACAACGCAAGGAUGUUGGAGCAUAUGUGGGCUCACCGCAACUCAGUUAUCCCCAUUGGACGCUAGUCUGGGCUGAUGUGCGGCGUUUCCUUUUCCCCGUGGCUUUUAGGGGUUUGGGUAUUUGCCCUUGGGCCUUCGGCUCGUAUGGGUAGUUUUACAGGUAUGGGGUCACUCAACCCCCAACCAUGUAACACAAACAUAUGGGGCUUAUGGGGCUUUUACCUAAGGGGACGACAUCGGUGAGAACCCCGUCCUGAUCAAUUGCCACAGACGCAAUAACAGCUUCAUCCAUCAUUCACUUCUUAGACCCGAUAACGUUUUUUUGUGCCAGCUUUGUGCGAACUUAGCUUACGCUUACCAGAUUUUAGCAAAAUUAGGUAUGGACGAUCAUACCUAUAUACUCAUCUCUCAGCAAGACCCCACGGUGCAAAUUUUAUUAUUAUGCCCCUAGAAAACGUAAGUAGAAAACGGUAAGUAGGUAACUCUCAUUUUUUCUGAGAGGUCAUCGAUGUUGUAUCUGCACCCAAAUACUCUAUUGGCCACAGAAGGCCUUACAAGGUACCCCCGCGCGACGGUGCAGACGGCGCCAAGCAACCGGGGACAUUGGUCCCCAUGGCCCACUCCUCUAUGCUGACAGCCUAUUGUAGUAGCUGGUACACAGUACGGCUAUACAAAUACGCGUGUAGCGCGACCACCAGCAUCUCGAGAGGCCUUUUCAGCGGCCAGCUACUACACCUAUACACAUGGCCCACAAAUGAGGGGCCCCAGUUCAAGACCACAACGGGGGAGUUAGCAAAUCAUGAGCAACCCUGUUACGAGCCACAAAUUACAGGAGCCACCACCUUCGGGACAGCCCCAGUCUCUCGGAGGAGAUGGGGGCCUUAUGUACUGUGUGUGUGUGUGUGUGUGUGUGUGUGUGUGUGUGUGUGUGUGUGUGUGUGUGUGUGUGUGUGUGUGUGUGUGUGUGUGUGUGUGUGUGUGUGUGUGUGUGUGUGUGUGUGUGUGUGUGUGUGUGUGUGUGUGUGUGUGUGUGUGUGUGUGUGUGUGUGUGUGUGUGUGUGUGUGUGUGUGUGUGUGUGUGUGUGUGUGUGUGUGUGUGUGUGUGUGUGUGUGUGUGUGUGUGUGUGUGUGUAUAGAAAAGGAAACACCCCAAGCGCCCAAAGGGGAUAACUGAGUUGUGGUGAGCCCACAUACGUUCCAACAUCCUCGCCAGACGUACUGGUUCCCAUUGCAUGGCCUCCAACCUGCUCUGUUGAUGAUCGAAUCCCUCUUCCGCACAGAUACCAUUAUAGGGUGGGCAUUCCAAUAACACAAUGUUUUUCAUCCUAUUAGUACCACAACAGCGGCAAAACCGCUGCUCCCUGGGGACAUUGUACUUGCACCUUCGUGCUCUGUUCUGUGCUCCUGUCUCCCUUAACCGUAUUCUCGUGGCUCUGCCGAAUAUGGCGUGCUUGCUGACCGUGCUUUAAAUGAUUGAGAUAGGAAGCGGGGAAGCCAGCUGCCAAGGGCCCUACACUGCAGACCGCGUAUCUCCGUCGCAUCUCAGUCUAAUUUGCCAUAAACGAAACUGCAUAAACGAAGCUGAAUUAGCUUACGAUGUGCUAAACGAGCAUGUGUAACGGCUGCAGCUCCCGAAAAGGGCAGCCCCAUCCAGUGCUUAUACUUCGCCAUUUGCACUCCCGGUUGCUUCCCAUCUGAUGGGUACUCCUCUGGCAAGACAGUCAGACGCGCAUGGUCCUAGCCGCUCAUCAAGCGCUCCCUUAGUGCCGUUAUCACCGCUCCUUCGCGGAGAGGUCUAUUCAACAACCAGUCAACAUGCUCCUUUACCCCCACGACUUCUUGCGGUAUUCCGCUCCAAAUAUUGCACUCCAAGAAGGAAAACAGUCGUAACAUCGAGGUUCCCCAACCCUCCCAUUCCGGGUUGGUCAAAGCAUCGGUUAUCUCCUGCCGUAAAACUGCAUGAGCAAGGGACCCCACUUGCUUUUGAAGCUUCAUAGAAAACGGUAGCUUUCUCAAAUACGCCGUCGACGUCGUAAAGUGGAAUCAGAAGUGAAGCACCAGCAGCUACAAUUGGACGUUGCGCGUUGCGCGGCUCAAUCCGGCUUUUGGGGGCCGGAUUGAGCACAGGAUGCACAGGAUGAUCCAGACUGCGGCUUUGCAGAGGUUGAUAGGUAACCUAAAACCUUAAUGAUUACUUUACACAAGGGUAGGUUUGAGAUUCAAGUUACACGAUCUCUGUUCACCACGAUCCUUUACUUUAAAGUCACGCAAACAAAGUCCACCUGUAGACGCAGUCGCGACAAGCUGCGACAAGCUAGAGGGUAGGACAAACUGUCGGGCAGAGCAAUUCUUUUGACUGCCCCGGUCGCACAAUUCCCGUGCUUCCCUAAUUCGACACCCUGAACACGCUAAUUCUGACUGUCCGAAUGUCCCUGCCAGGCCAAUUCGACACCCUGUCAGCCUAAUUCUGACUGUCGGAAUGUCCCGCCAGGCUAAUUCGUAUCCCUGUCAGGCUAAUUCUGACUGUCGGAAUGUCCCUGCCAGGCCAAUUCUUAUCCCUGUCAGGCCAAUUCAAGGGCCUGUCCCGGCAAUUCAACUUGUCCCAGGUGUCAAUUUAAACCCUUCUACCGAGCAAUCUAGACCAAUUGCAGGGUCUGCCCCCAAACCCCUGUAUAGGCGAGUUCAAAACAAACUGGUCAGAGCUUGGCGGUAUAGACCCAUAUGCAUGCUGCAUCAGCGGCGGCAUCAGGGGGUGGUUCAUCGGUGCUAAGACUGGCAACAUCGAGAAUAUUAUCAACCACGUCAAAACACGCCAGCACAUGAUGGCGUGCAAGCAAGAGACACAGCGGCUCACCCAGCAGGGUGGCCUUGUCGCGCGGCCCAUGCCACCACCUGGAGUGCGAGACGUCAGCUGUGCCUGGCCACCUGACAUGCGCAUGCAUCUAUAUGGCAUGUCGGACGAGGCGGCAGAGGAGGAGUAUCAGCGCCUCUACAGCCAGUUUCAGCACAGGCGCACACGUCGGCGAGAGCAGCAGCCCAAUGCCGUAGACAGUGGGCGCCGCAUCUUACCGCGCACUUCACCCACUCCUGCACCUGGAGCGCGCACCGUUGGUCCCAACAUGGAUCCGGAGGCACAGCGCAUCGUCAGCCCCGACGUGGCGACAUGGAUAUCAGCGAUAGCGAGUCUGGUGAGGGAGUCCAUAUGGUUCGAAGCGGAGGGGGUGGGAAUGUGCGCCUGUUUCUCUCCAGUGAGAGUCCGGAGUGGUUCACCCCACUGAGUAUCAUAAAGCUGGUGCGCGAGGUGUUCACUCCUGGCAGGAUCGACCUGGACCCAUGCUUGUCCGCGGCUGCUAACACACGUGUUGGGGCGACAGUGUAUUACGAUAUGGAAUCCGAUGGUCUGUUGGAGUGCAACGCGUGGAUGGGCAAUGUGUUUGUCAACCCGCCUUUUGGGGUGCAGGGUGGUGCAAGCUAUCAGAGCCUGUUUUUCCAGNNNNNNNNNNNNNNNNNNNNNNNNNNNNNNNNNNNNNNNNNNNNNNNNNNCUGAGGAUCCCCUUUCAUGUAGCUCGUGGUACUGAGUUUAGCGGUUUAUCAGAGAUUUGUCAUUGUUUCCACCCGAACCUAUUCAUGCAUACGAGUGUUGUGGGAUAAACUGGACGGACUGUCGAUAAAGUGUGGUGGGAAAACAGUGGGACCUCGGCAGCUGACUUGACUGGGUAAUGCAGUCGUGGCCCUGAGUGCUUGCCUCCGGUAGUAGUAGUAGUGCCAGAGUACGGUAACCAGGUGUGCAAGUUUUUCCACUCCAUGUCGUGGGAUCGAAUCUAAUACACACAUGAGGCACUUGUAAGCGGUCCUCUUGCAAAGUUUUUCUGUAAAUUCCUUAAAAGUCAUGUGCUUUUGGAUGCCAGCCCCGGCCAAUCCUGCCAACUUGACAGCCAAUUCGACACCCUGUCAGGCUAAUUCGAUACCCUGUCAGGCCAAUUUGACACCCCGAACAGGUCAAUUCGAUACCCUGUCAGGCUAAUUCAAUACCCUGUUAGGCCAAUUCGGCACCCGGACAGGCCAAUUCGACACCCGGACAGGCCAAUUCAGGCGCAGCACAGCCCAAUUCCGAGGCUCCACAGCGCAAUUCGAAUACCUCCGGCGGGUCCGCCAGAACAAUUCCAGACCUCGGCAGACCAAUUCUUUUGUCAGGAAUAAAAUCCAGGCUAAUUCUGCGACAGAGCUCUUCCCUAAUUCCAGCCCGAAUCCUACCCUCCUGACAAGCAGCUGCCUGCAGGCAUCAAACGAUCGAGCAUACGAUAGACGCGGGUUGAUCCAUCAGCUGAAUUACAUAAAAGCCUGGUUAUUCACUUAAACAGGUAUUCGACGAAGUGUUUUGGUGAAGCGAUUGUGUUGAACAACCGUGGUUUGUCACAUCGCCGAGCUAGGGAGCAGCCACAAAUGAAACGAGCGACUUUUCCAUUUACAUUUCGCGUGGCAGUGUAAUUUCAAUGGAUGUUGAGGUGAAAUUGCAACCAACAGGAACGAUCAAACGUUCGCGAGGCACAAUCCCUUACGGGUUGUCGUUAGUCAUUAACAGUCGCAAAGUCAAGAUUUUUUAUUGAGGCAUUCCAAAGGUUGUUUGGCCGGGUUGUGUUGCCAAAUGUGCCGAUGUGCAAAAACCUGCCAACGAUGUCCCAAAUAUUCAGUAGCAUGUAGCAUGAUUCUAUUGGCGGGUUACGGGAGAAAAAACGCGCGCAUUUCAGAAUUUUGAAUACAUUCACUCCGUUCAGUUACGAAUAAAUGUUCCUGACAGCUUGCAAUGGGAACACCGCGCCGCAGGUCACAUCCACCAGGAAUGGAUGCCAAGCCAGUCGCCAAAGAACAAACAGCCUUGCUUGACAACUGUUGCGAUGCCGCGGCAUGUUAAGACCACCUAAUUCUAUCCACCACGCGCGUUCGUUUUCCAGUCCCAUUUCAAUUACACCAUCACGGCAGCUGGGGCAGGGAAUGAUGUCCACCUGUUAUGUCAGAUCUGUAACCAGUCAACGGAUAAAAUCCGAUUACGGAAUAUCAUGCUGCGCACAUCCUGCUGCGCGCAAUUAAAUCCGAUGCGGAAAAUCUUGCUGCGCACGCUGCGACACAAAAGAUGCCAAUCAUAGUGCCACACGUGGCAUUCUUGGCCACGCAAUCCGGCACUGCUAAAGAGAAAGAAAACCUGUCAAUCCUCCAGGCGCAGACCUUACGUGCCUUGGCCCUCCGUCAACUUGCCAAGAGCGUAACGAUGUGCGGUUUAGCCAUUAAACCGGAACCGUGUACAUCGGGCAGCACGCCCUGUUGGCGUUGAAGAUGAAGAGGUAGCUGCAUGAUGUGGCACAGAGGGGCGGGUAAGGAGUGGUUUAAAAUAAUAAUAAUAAUUAUUAUUAUUUAUUAUUAUCAUUAUUAUUAUAUCAUUUGUUUGAUGCAAAGUUAUGUUCCGAAACCAAGAGGCACAGGGAAGCUGGUAUGUUGAUGGAGUGUGUGUCUGUCGUACGAGCGAUGUAUAUUUAUUAUAUACGAGUGUGAAUUAAGCGAUUAAUGUAGGCAUGUGAUAUCCGCGUGUGAGCGAGGGAGGGGAAGAAAGAAAGAAAGAGAGAGAGAGAGAGAGAGAGAGAGCAUCAUGAAGCGAAAGCGGCAAGGAGAAAUCCAUGGCUGUUGACAGUCAGACCGUCGGUUCAGUAAGUCCCCAUAUUCAGGCCAUAACCACUCACCACUUGCUGCCGAGGCAGAAGUCCGAAAGGGUGGUUGGGUUCUUGAGCUCCACGCAGACCUUGGAGUUCGCGGCCUGAGCCUUGGUCCAGUUGAUCGGGGUGACUGUAAUUGCAGAAGGGGGGAAAGUGAGGGGUGGAAGAAAAUUCUCAUUUCCUGCUCCCCUCGGCCCUUCCUUCAGGGCAAAGAAGGGCAACCGUACGGCAACAGGUAGCUGUUGCUUUAAGCGCGUCCUGCCUCCCUUCCUGACAUAUCUGCCAGGAAAGCCAGUAACGAUGUUAUCCAUGCCGGUAAGCUUGCUCUAAGGCUUGCGAAUCGAUAUGCAAUUGAUCCAUGCGCGUCCUGGCUCGAGCUGACCUUCGUACAGCUGACCUUCGUACAGCUGACAGCGUUUGGUCCCCAUCCUUGGUUUUUUACGAUGGCAUGAAAUAAUAAAUAUUGGUUCAAAACUCUUCCCGAAGCUCAAACAAACUGUAGUGCAUCCAACAUUACGCAGUCGUUCGCUAUGCCCCUGGCGUCCCAACGCCUACGUAGGCCGCUUGCAUAUCAUGCUUACACUUCAGAGUGUUGCUGUUAGCGCCGUUCCAGGAGGCCGCGAGGGUCGUGGUGGUGCUGCCGGAGACCAGUUUCAGGCUCUUAAUCGCAGCCCUCUGAUCCUGGUCUGCGAUUGGCGCAACGAGAGGCGGGCGAUGGCAACAGCGCAAGGGACGCGACUCAGGAUAUUUGCGUGUGAAUGUGUUUGUGUGUAUGUGUAUGUGUGAACGUGUUUGUGUGUAUGUAUGUAUGUAUGUAUGUAUGUAUGUAUGUAUGUAUGUAUGUAUGUAUGUAUGUAUGUAUGUAUGUAUGUAUGUAUGUAUGUAUGUAUGUAUGUAUGUGUGUGUGAAACAGGGGGGUGUAUCUUCACCCGUGGCCGCUACCCUGCGAAACCCUGCCUUCCCCGCGGGUAUUUCGGGGCACCCUCAUCCAGUCACCCUAGUCAACUUCUCAGUGGAUCGCUCAGGUUCCGCACCCACCACCAGCAUCUGCCAGGAUCUGCCGGGUCGACGGCGACAUAUUUCCAUUCCUGGUCGGCUCGCGGGUUAACUUUAUCCCAGGUCACCACCGUCCAUCAACUAGGGGCGCAAUGCCUUCCACCAUCGAAAGGACUUCUGACCCUAAUGGGUGUCGAUCCCGGGAUCUCCCGGGGGCAAUGGUCGCGCCUUACCAGUAGUGCCAAACCCUAGUAUAUGUAGUGUGUAUGUCUGCGUUUGUGUGUGCAUGUGUGUUUGUAUGUGUGUGUAUGUGUAUGUAUGUGAUUGGCACAUAUCCCGAUAUGCGGCGGAGCGGCCAACUGAGUGAUUGAGCUGGUAAAAUCAGGGCAAAGUUUAAAGUUCGUGUUGCACCUAUUUUGCGGAUACGGGACAAAGAACGACACCAUCACAUGCAGUCGAGGUUUUCCCACAACCAUGCCCAACCGCGUUAUUGUCGCAUUCAUUGCUCGCCAACCCCCCAAAAAUGACGUACUACGGUACGACACAGCCAGGAGAGGAGCCCUAUGCGCGUGAGAGGAACAUGGGACUGGUUUGUAUAUCCACACAUCGAUCGUCCAUGCACUCAUCGAUCGUCCAUGCACACAUGCACACAGAGCAUUGUCCAUAUGCUGCAUGCACGAUCCAAGAAGAAUGCAUCAUAGAUGUUAGGGUCUUACUUGCGUACAUCUCGAUCUUGUGCAGGAUGUCGACCGGGCCGCAACCAGCCUGCAGGAAAGAGACGGUCGAGUCAAUGGGUAGUCGAGCCGGGAUGUUAUCAUCAGGAAGAGCAUGACGGCGAUGUACGUUCCUUCAAAUCGGCAAAAACAUAUCCAAAAAGGAACUACACCAAACCAUCCCUAUAGCCUUAAGGGAUAUGACCGUUGCGUACGGGCAAGUGGCCGUUAUAAUAAAACACCGCGCCCUGACUAUUGACAGAUCCCAAAAGGUAUAAACUCUAAGUCGCAGGCCAGGGAUGAGACAAAGCCGUCCCAGGCAGGGAGGAUAUGGAGGCCCAACGGAACGGUUGGGCAGGCGAUGUUGCUCUUGACGUUAAUGGCGCGAUAUGAACCACGGUUUACAUCUCCUGGUACUCUCAAGCUACUAGGCCUGGCUAAGGAACUAACUAUAAGAUCGCUACGGAGAGGCCUUGGUAACGUAUCGCCUCCGCAGUACUAGUAACACAGACUAGUAGGGACGACUAACCCCGCCACCUCUACCUGCAUCUUUCCUUUGAGCCCUUUAUCCCGAAAGCGAGGAUGUCCCUGAUGCUAAGUCACUCACUGGGGUGAAGGUGUCCGUGGUGGUGAUCGGCAGGCAGUACACGGUGGUUCCCGAAGUGGUGGGGGUAGCAGUGGCGGCGGCGCCAACAGUGAAUGGCGUGGAACCUGCCUUGUAGUCGCACCUGCACAUCGGAACCACCGUAUCACGUGAGCAGAUGGGUUGAAGUUAAUUGAUCGGCAGAAACACACCCACACAUAUACCCAUAACCACACGCAAAAGGCUAACUUGCUGAUACAUACACACACAAACACACAUAUACAAACAUACACACAUAUGGGCACAACUGCGAUGUGCACGCAUGGUAAACAACACAUGCUUACAUGCACACACGCUUUUGCAUGCGCACUACACGUACGAAUACACACACAUGCACACACAUGCACACACAUGCACACACAUGCACACACAUGCACACACAUGCACACACAUGCACACACAUGCACACACGCACGCACACAUGAUCCCGGGGCCCCUUCCCGGGCUCGUCCAAGGAAACAAAAGAACGACGAACGAAGUCAUCAAGUGCCAUGGAAGCUAAGUCAGCGGCAAGUGUGCCGCAGCCCUAAUUUCGCCGUAAUGUGCUACUACUGACGGCACAGAUGUAUAUUAUUAUUAUGCUUGCAUGGAUGCAGGUGCCCCAAACAAGUAACAAGAAAAAUCAUUGGCACAUUCGGCGUUCACGGCCUGCAAGCUUCAUGACUUUCCGUCCUAGGACUCACGUGCAGUUGAUGGGGGGCGGGGGCAGAAGCGGAGAGUUGGGCACAGUAACGUCCGUUGGGCAGCACUUGAACUUGGAGUCCCACAGGGCAGUCUCGCAGGUGCCGGGAGCACCGCCGGCCGGUGGCUUGCAGAGCUGCUCCAGGGAGAGGCAGCCCCUGCCGGCGGAGUUGGUGCCCAGGCUCACGCAAAUCUCGGCGCCAUCGGCGUUGGACAUCUUGAGGCCCAGGUUCGGAAUGCGCAGGAUGGC